ensembl:processed_transcript
GAACUGGCUAAUGCCCUCAUCCCUGCUGCUGUGUCCCAAUACAUGUUUCAGGGUCAGGAGGGAGAGCUGUACCCCACCGCUGGCUAUGAAGAGCAGUAAAGCCCUGAUGCGACAGCCAGCAGAGAUCCCUCCUGAGAGACGAGCAGAUUCACUUGAAAACAUGGCACUUGGAUUGUACAAUAUCCCAACAACAGAAGACUCCAAUUUACCUGACACUUGCAGAUGAUAUAUUUAGUAAACUUAUCAAGUGACCGGCCCUUCAUGAAGACUCACAAGAUGAAGCGUGUAUUUUUUUUAAAAACAUCUAAAGCACAUCAAUUCACUGAAGAUGGAAUAUUUACAAAACCCCUUCUCAAGGAAUUCAGGCUACAUCAAGAUCAUUCUGAAGAUAUUUUUCCUACAAUAAAAUGCAUCCCAUGGACACACCUGUUGCCAAAGAAAAGGCAAUACUGAGUAUUUCCCUCCUUGACGACUACAAUGCAUGUGAACUGUUUGCGAUAUGACGUAAUUGAUCGUGGCACAAGUUUGAAUGCACUUUAGUCUGUGUGUUGGAGUUCCUGCUUUGUGGAGCUGUGAUUUCAUUUUCCCUAAAAUUGACAUUAUAAUGAAGCACACGCUUGUAUUUCAAUUUAUAUAUAUAUCUAUAUUUGAAGGCAUAUAAAAAGUACAGGUUUAAUCAUAUUAUGUAUGUAUUUACGUGAGAGGUCUAGGGGUUCAAAAUCAGACCUCG